CCUACGGGCGGCAGCAGUGAGGAAUAUUGGUCAAUGGACGAGAGUCUGAACCAGCCAAGUAGCGUGAAGGAUGACUGCCCUAUGGGUUGUAAACUUCUUUUAUAUGGGAAUAAAACAGGGUAUGCAUACCCUCUUGUAUGUACCAUAUGAAUAAGGAUCGGCUAACUCCGUGCCAGCAGCCGCGGUAAUACGGAGGAUCCGAGCGUUAUCCGGAUUUAUUGGGUUUAAAGGGAGCGUAGGUGGAUUGUUAAGUCAGUUGUGAAAGUUUGUGGCUCAACCGUAAAAUUGCAGUUGAAACUGGCAGUCUUGAGUACAGUAGAGGUGGGCGGAAUUCGUGGUGUAGCGGUGAAAUGCUUAGAUAUCACGAAGAACUCCGAUUGCGAAGGCAGCUUACUGGACUGAAACUGACACUGAUGCUCGAAAGUGUGGGUAUCAAACAGGAUUAGAUACCCGGGUAGUC
rnacentral:rRNA from 1 species